rnacentral:rRNA from 1 species
GUAAUACAUCGGAACGUGCCCAGUAGUGGGGGAUAGCUCGGCGAAAGCCGGAUUAAUACCGCAUACGACCUGAGGGUGAAAGCGGGGGAUCUUCGGACCUCGCGCUAUUGGAGCGGCCGAUGGCAGAUUAGCUAGUUGGUGGGGUAAAGGCCUACCAAGGCGACGAUCUGUAGCUGGUCUGAGAGGACGACCAGCCACACUGGGACUGAGACACGGCCCAGACUCCUACGGGAGGCAGCAGUGGGGAAUUUUGGACAAUGGGCGAAAGCCUGAUCCAGCAAUGCCGCGUGUGUGAUGAAAGGGCUUC